UACCGGCCCCGCGAGUGGUCGGGGUGAUUAUUGGGCCUAAAGCGCCCGUAGCCGGCCCGGUGUGUCCUCCCUUAAACCCCCGGGCUCAACCCGGGGAAUGGGGAGGAUACUACCGGGCUAGGGGGCGGGAGAGGCCGAGGGUACUCCCGGGGUAGGGGCGAAAUCCGUUAAUCCCGGGAGGACCACCUGUGGCGAAGGCGCUCGGCUGGAACGCGCCCGACGGUGAGGGGCGAAAGCCGGGGGAGCGAACCGG
rnacentral:rRNA from 1 species